rnacentral:rRNA from 1 species
GAUGAACGCUGGCGGCGUGCCUAAUACAUGCAAGUCGAGCGAACAGAUAAGGAGCUUGCUCCUUUGACGUUAGCGGCGGACGGGUGAGUAACACGUGGGUAACCUACCUAUAAGACUGGAAUAACUCCGGGAAACCGGGGCUAAGGCCGGAUAACUUUUAGAACAGCAAUGUUCUAAAGUGAAAUUUGGUUUUUCUAUCACUUAUAGAUUGACCCGCCCCUGAUUAGCUAGUUGGCUAGGUAACGGCUUAGCAAGGCAACGACACGUAGCCGACCCGAGAGGGUGAUCGCCCACACUGGAUCUGAGAAACGGUCCAGACUCCUACGGGAGGCAGCAGUAGGGACUCUUCCGCAAUGGGCGAAAGCCUGACGGAGCAACGCCGCGUGAGUGAUGAUGGUCUUCGGAUCGGAAAACUCUGUUAUUCGGAAAAAACAAAUGUGUAAGUACCUGUGCACGUCUUGACGGUACCUAAUCAGAAAGCCACGGCUAACUACGUG